rnacentral:rRNA from 1 species
AUUGAACGCUGGUGGCAUGCUUUACACAUGCAAGUCGAACGGUAACAGGCCGCAAGGUGCUGACGAGUGGCGAACGGGUGAGUAAUGCAUCGGAACGUGCCCAGUCGUGGGGGAUAACGCAGCGAAAGCUGUGCUAAUACCGCAUACGAUCUAUGGAUGAAAGCGGGGGACCGUAAGGCCUCGCGCAAUUGGAGCGGCAGAUAUCAGAUUAGGUAGUUGGUGGGGUAAAGGCUCACCAAGCCAACGAUCUGUAGCUGGUCUGAGAGGACGACCAGCCACACUGGGACUGAGACACGGCCCAGACUCCUACGGGAGGCAGCAGUGGGGAAUUUUGGACAAUGGACGCAAGUCUGAUCCAGCCAUGCCGCGUGCGGGAAGAAGGCCUUCGGGUUGUAAACCGCUUUUGUCAGGGAAGAAACGCUCUGGGUUAAUACCUCGGGGUAAUGACGGUACCUGAAGAAUAAGCACCGGCUAACUACGUGCCAGCCGCCGCCGUAA